AGUGAAGGUCCCUUUCUCUGGAACCCGGCAGGACCCCUCAGGGAGGAUGGAGCAGUCCCAAUAGUUUCCAGCAGAGGGCAGUGUCUGAGCGGGUCUUCCUCUACUGGGACCCUGAGGGUUCCCUGCCUCACCAAAGGGAACACACAGUGGUGUGGGAAACCACGGGGAAAGUGUGCUGUUGGACUCUUUUAUCUGCAUAUGGAAAGAGAGAAGACUGGAGUGAGCCAGGAUCAUAGCCGGCUUUCUCCAAGGGAAGCUUCGAGGCCGGCUUCAAUC
rnacentral:lncRNA from 1 species